UCUCUUUCUCUCCUUAUUGGUGGAGAGAGAAACAGACAGAGGAGAGAGAGAGAGUAACAAAUACCUGUUUUGUAUCUCUCUCUCCUAUGUCUGGGCACAAAUCUUCCUCCCCUUCUUCUUCCUUCUGACCCUUAUCGAAUCAGAAGAAGAAACUAAAGAAGAAAAAGAAAAAACGAGGGAGAAGCUUCUGCAAGCUGCCAAUUUUUUUCUUUUGUCUGUCUGGGUCAGAGAGGGUUGUAAUUGUAACCAUGUAUUCCUCGUGUGUCUCAAACGGUGCCGUUUCUGGGUUCCAACGUAAGGAGUCAAUGGUUGACCCUUUCUUGGUCGAGGCUCUUCAGAACCCUCGUCACCGUCUCACCAUUUUGCGGAUGGAGCUGGAUAUCCAGAGGUUUCUGAAUAAUGCUGAUCAGCAGCAUUUUGAGUUUCAACAUUUCCCUUCUUCUUAUCUCAGAUUGGCUGCACAUCGUGUUGCUCAACACUAUGGUAUGCAAACAAUGGUUCAAGAUAAUGGCCUAGAUGGCCAGGGAACUAGAAUUAUGGUAAGAAAAUUAGCAGAAAGCAGGUAUCCUAUGGUCUGCUUAUCUGAAAUACCUACCAAACAAUUUGAAAAUGAUAAACCUGAGCUUAUAAAAAUUGCCAUAAGGCCUAGGCCUAAUAGCAGCAGUUUAAAUGAAGCCAAUGAACCUGGGAGGAAAAGCAAUCCUCUUAGAAGUGUGGAAGAGAGGAAGGAGGAAUAUGAUCGGGCACGAGCACGCAUCUUUAGUAGCACCACAAGUUGUGAUGCAGGUGGUACUCUGUCUCAGGUCUCAGUGGAUGAGAAAAUUUCUUUCGUAAGCAAGGAUGAGACUGAAACUAGCAAGAACCCCGUGGCUGAAUCAGAAAAAUGCACUAGUAGCAGGGAUAAUAGUUCUACUCGAGUUGCCAUCUUCAGAGAUAGGGAAAAGGAUCGUAGUGAUCCAGAUUAUGAUCGUAGCUAUGGAAGUAUGCACUGCUCUGAGCUCUCUAACCUUUUCAACACAAACCAUCAACACAUGGCACAUGUAGUGUUGUUUCCAGGCAAGCCUGGUAUUUUCCUGCAAAGCCUGGCCUACCUACUUUCAGUUCUCGCGGAAGCCUUCUAAGUAGAAGAAUGGUAUGCUAGGGGUAUUCCAACCUCUUCCCUCAAUUUUAUGCCCUAUAAUUUGCCACAAGUUCAACCUUCAUUUGCUCAGUAUGACGCUACUUUUAAUCAGCUGAGUCAUAUGUCACAAAAUCAAGCUUCACUUGGCUAUGGAUCUCCUUCAAGUCCUGUAAUGAAUCCUUUUGGUGUCACGGGAUUGAAUCAGGCAUCUAGGGAUGCUACUUACCCACAGUGGCCAAGUGCUGCAAUGAUCUAUGCACAUUCAUAUGAUCAAUUUAGACAUGCUGUUUUCCAAGCUCCGUUUGGUCAACAGCCAUUGAGCUUUGAUUAUUCACAGAAUUACUAGAUGACGUCUAGGGGUGCGCUUUUCCAUUUGGAUGUAGAAGUUACUUUAGCUAUUAAGGAUUGCAGAUUAGAUACAAUUUUUUCUGUACUGUCAUAGACCCAAAGUUCCUGUUUUGGUUUUUCAGUUUUGAUGGGGGUAGUAAAGCAUUUGGUGUUUCCUACUUCUAGUGACAUUUUGAUACUGGACUCUGGUGAAUUACUGGAUUUCAAAUGCAUGAAGAGUACUUAUUUCUGGUUACCUUGUCUAAUGUUAGGGAGGCUUUUUAUUCUAAGCUUGUGCAAACUAUCCCGUAGAUGGAAAUGAGUGAAAGCUGGUUUGGGCGUCUGUGUGGGCUUAUCCUUAUAGGGAGCUUUUGGCAUAGGAGGAAUAGAUGGUGCAAUCAUUCGAAGGGCUUUUUUUCGUUACCUACUUUGCAUUUUCAAAAAUCUGUCUUAAAUAAAUAAUAUUAUGUAAUUCUUU